UUUUGGUGAGAAUUUUGGUAAUUUUGGAGCUUUGGAGCUUGUGGUGCUGAGGUUUUGUAGUCACUAGAGCACAAAAAUCGUGAAAAAAACUGAAAAAAAAUUUUUUUUUUUUUUUUUUUUUUUUUUAAUUUUUU
ensembl:lincRNA linc-168 ncRNA